AAUAGAUUCGCAGGNNGACCUGCGGANGGAUCAUUAAAGAAUGCCCCGCUUUUUUGAAAUGGGUUCUAUUCCCAAACCGNUGNUAUACAUACCUUUGUUGCUUUGGCGGGCCGCCUUCGGGCGUCGGCUCACGCUGACCGCGCCUGCCAGAGGACCCAAACUCGUUUGUUUAGUGAUGUCUGAGUACUAUAUAAUAGUUAAAACUUUCAACAACGGAUCUCUUGGUUCUGGCAUCGAUGAAGAACGCAGCGAAAUGCGAUAAGUAAUGUGAAUUGCAGAAUUCAGUGAAUCAUCGAAUCUUUGAACGCACAUUGCGCCCCUUGGUAUUCCGAGGGGCAUGCCUGUUCGAGCGUCAUUAUGACCACUCAAGCCUAGCUUGGUAUUGGGGUUCGCGGUCUCGCGGCCCUUAAAAUCAGUGGCGGUGCCAUCUGGCUCUAAGCGUAGUAAUUUAUCUCGCUAUUGGGUCAGGUGGUUGCUUGCCAACAACCCCCAACUUCUAAGGUUGACCUCGGAUCAGGUAGGGAUACCCGCUGAACUUAAGCAUAUCAAUAAGCGGAGGAAAAGAAACCAACAGGGAUUGCCUCAGUAACGGCGAGUGAAGCGGCAACAGCUCAAAUUUGAAAUCUGGCUCUUUCAGGGUCCGAGUUGUAAUUUGUAGAAGAUGCUUUGGGUGUAGCUCCGGUCUAAGUUCCUUGGAACAGGACGUCAUAGAGGGUGAGAAUCCCGUAUGUGACUGGGUGCUUUCGCUCGUGUAAAGCUCUUUCGACGAGUCGAGUUGUUUGGGAAUGCAGCUCAAAAUGGGUGGUAAAUUUCAUCUAAAGCUAAAUAUUGGCCAGAGACCGAUAGCGCACAAGUAGAGUGAUCGAAAGAUGAAAAGCACUUUGGAAAGAGAGUUAAACAGUACGUGAAAUUGUUGAAAGGGAAGCGCUUGCAACCAGACUUGCGCGCUGUUGAUCAUCCGAGCUUCUGCCCGGUGCACUCGACAGCGUUCAGGCCAGCAUCGGUUUUGGUGGGCGGAUAAAGGCCUUGGGAAUGUAGCUUCUUUCGGGGAGUGUUAUAGCCCUCGGUGCAAUGCGCCCUACCGGGACC
rnacentral:rRNA from 1 species